rnacentral:rRNA from 1 species
UACGUAGGCAGCGAGCGUUGUUCGGAGUUACUGGGCGUAAAGGGUGCGUAGGCGGCGUGGAAAGUUGGGUGUGAAAGCCCUCGGCUCAACCGGGGAAUGGCGCCCAAAACUACCAUGCUCGAGGAAGACAGAGGUGAGCGGAACUCAGGGUGGAGCGGUGAAAUGCGUUGAUAUCCUGAGGAACACCGGUGGCGAAAGCGGCUCACUGGGUCUUCUCUGACGCUGAGGCACGAAAGCUAGGGUAGCGAACGGG